rnacentral:rRNA from 1 species
UGGGGAAUAUUGCACAAUGGGCGCAAGCCUGAUGCAGCCAUGCCGCGUGUAUGAAGAAGGCCUUCGGGUUGUAAAGCACUUUCAGCGGGGAGGAAGGCGAUAAGGUUAAUAACCUCAUCGAUUGACGUUACCCGCAGAAGAAGCACCGGCUAACUCCGUGCCAGCAGCCGCGGUAAUACGGAGGGUGCAAGCGUUAAUCGGAAUUACUGGGCGUAAAGCGCACGCAGGCGGUCUGUCAAGUCAGAUGUGAAAUCCCCGGGCUCAACCUGGGAACUGCAUCUGAUACUGGCAAGCUUGAGUCUCGUAGAGGGGGGUAGAAUUCCAGGUGUAGCGGUGAAAUGCGUAGAGAUCUGGAGGAAUACCGGUGGCGAAGGCGGCCCCCUGGACGAAGACUGACGCUCAGGUGCGAAAGCGUGGGGAGCAAACAGG